UCGGGGCUUAGGAUUUAGCUAUGUUCGUGCUGCUCCAAAGGCACCGGUGUCGAAUGCAAUGGUGAAGAAAAAAGCAGCUGCUGGUCGAGGGGGUUCUACUGUCACUGGGACAGAUGCUGACCUUCGUAGAUUAAGCAUGGAGGCUGCACGAGAGGUCCUUCUAAAGUUCAAUGUUCCUGAGGAACAGAUUGCAAAACAGACUAGGUGGCAUCGUAUUGCUAUGAUACGAAAGCUUUCAAGUGAACAAGCAGCAUCAGGAGUGAAGGUUGAUCCAACAACUAUCAGCAAGUAUGCACGUGGCCAACGAAUGUCCUUUCUUCAGUUGCAGCAACAGACAAGAGAAAAGUGUCAAGAAAUUUGGGAUCGUCAAGUUCAGUCUCUUUCAGCAGUGGAUGGUGAUGAAAAUGAGAGUGAUUCUGAGGCAAAUAGUGACCUAGAUUCCUUUGCUGGAGACCUGGAAAACUUGCUUGAUGCAGAGGAAUGUGAAGGGGAUGAGGGUAAUUAUGAGUCCAAGCAUGACAAAGCAGAUGGUGUCAAGGGGUUAAAAAUGAGAAGACGCCCAUUUAAGGUUCAGGCUGAAGAGGAAAUUGAAGAUGAAGCUGCUGAGGCAGCGGAAUUAUGCAGGUUGCUCAUGGAUGAUGAGGAGGCUGCUGAGCAGAAAAAGAAGAAAAAAACAAAAACUACAGGGAUUGAGGCAGGGCUGGUAUUUGGCUCAAAAUCAAAUUUUAUUGACAAUGCAGAGCGCAUUAAGAAAACAAAGAAAGUCCAUCCUAAUGGGUCCUACAUUACAAAAGAGAACAGCAAUAGAGACUUCAAGGAGGUGGAGACUUUAUUUGGUAAAAGGAAGAUGUCUGACAAGGUAAAAGCUAUGAAAAAUAAUGCUACUUCAGAUUCAAGCACGCCUCGACUGAAGGCAAAAGUCAAAAUAUUGGGUGAAGGACUUAAGAUCUUUAAGGAGAAGAAAUCAUCAAGAGAGAGUUUUGUCUGUGGGGCAUGUGGUCAGCUUGGACACAUGAGGACCAACAAGAACUGCCCCAAGUAUGGAGAAGAGCCUGACACACAGGUUGAAAUUACAGAAAUAGAAAAAGCUUCUGCAAAAUCCAGUUCUCUAGAUCCCUCAAGUAAGUCCCAGCAGAAGUUGCAGAAGAAAAAGUCCAUGACAGAAAGUACAACCAAAAUUGAAGCUCCUGAAGGUGAAAAAUCUAGUUUAAAGUCAAAAGUUCUGCCAGUGAAGUUCAAAUGUGGCUCCACUGAGAAAUUUUCUGAUAAACCUGCUGAUGGAGCUGCACAAAGUUCUGACCUGCCUAUCACUUCUGAUGCCCGGCCUGAUAGUUCUGAUUUGGAAACUGUGAGCAAGCCAAUUUCCAAGGUUAAUAAGAUAAUAAUAUCCAACAAGGCAAAACCUGAUGAUGUACAAGUUGAAUCACACAAGCCCUCUAUUGUGAUACGCCCACCACUUGAUACCGAUAGAGGUCAAAUUGAACCUCAUAAGCCCUCCAUUGUUAUUAGGCCACCGAUAAAUGCAGAAAGAAACCAUAUUGAAUCUCAUAAGCCGUCUAUUGUGAUACGUCCACCUGCAGCAAAAGAUAGGGACCAAGGCCACAAGAAAAUAGUUAUCAAACAGCCCAAAGAGAUCAUUGAUGUUGACCAGGGCAGUCAGGAUGGAAGCACUGGGUUUGAGUACCGGAAAAUAAAAAAAAUUGCUGAAUUAUCAGGUGUUGAAAAUCCAAGGAAGCCACGGACUUUAAAUUUACCUGGAGAUUCAGCCAAGAAGAAAGCCAGAGAGGAGAGAAGAUGGUGGGAAGAGGAAGAGAAAAGGAGAAUUACAGAGAGAUUUAGAGAAGAGAGACCCAGGAGGAUUUAUGGGGAAGAAACAAGAGUUGAAGAACAAGGACUAGCUGAGCUUAGAAGAUAUGAAGAAGCUGUCAGAAGGGAGAGGGAGGAAGAAGAACUGCAGAAAGCCAAGAAGAAGAAAAAGAAGAAGAAAAAGCCUGAAUUUAGCGAUGACUACUUAGAAGACUUUAGGGCAAGCAGAAGAAUGCCAGAAAGAGAUCGAGGUGCAAAAAGGCGGCCUGUUGUUGAAUUGGGGAGGUAUGGUGCAGAGCAUGCCCCUGCAACAAAGCGUCGUAGAGGUGGAGAGGUUGGCUUGGCAAACAUAUUGGAACGCGUUGUGGACACCCUUAAAGACAGGUUAGAUGUAUCCUACCUGUUCCUAAAACCAGUAUCCAAGAAAGAGGCUCCUGACUACUUGGACAUCAUAAAACGUCCCAUGGAUCUAUCAACAAUUAGAGAAAAGGUAAGAAAGAUGGAAUACAAGCACCGAGAGGAGUUUAGACACGACAUGUGGCAGAUCACAUACAAUGCCCACUUGUACAAUGACGGCCGGAACCCUGGUAUUCCUCCCCUUGCUGAUCAGCUUUUGGAACUUUGUGACUACUUGCUUAAGGAACACAACUACAGCUUAUCUGAAGCGGAAGCCGGAAUUGAAUCUAGGGAACAUUAGAACAUCACUAAUGGAUCCUCUGUCUCAUUAUGAGUUUUAAGUCCCCCCAGAAGCAAUUUUUUCUUUCUUUCCUUGGGGUUGUAAUGGUUUGUAAGUUGGCCUUAGGGCUCAGCUUCUUGUACGGCAAUUAUGUCCCUGUAAAAUAACGAGCUGUAUCCAAUUAUUUUUUUAGUGUAUAUUCGAGUAAUUUUGUCAAUAUGUACCCUCAAGAUCUCUCUUAAUUUGUAGGAGAAUUCAA
rnacentral:misc_RNA from 1 species